rnacentral:rRNA from 1 species
AACGUAGGUGGCAAGCGUUAUCCGGAUUUACUGGGCGUAAAGUGUGCGCAGGUGGCCGCGCAAGUCGAGUGUGAAAUCCCCGAGCUUAACUUGGGAAUUGCGCUCGAAACUACGUGGCUCGAGUGUGGCAGAGGAAGGUGGAAUUCCACGUGUAGCGGUGAAAUGCGUAGAGAUGUGGAGGAACACCGAUGGCGAAGGCAGCCUUCUGGGCCAACACUGACGCUCAUGCACGAAAGCGUGGGGAGCAAACAGG